GGGUCAGUAGGUUGGUCGUGCCACCGGUACGUACUGGUCUCACUGAUUCCUCCUUCCUGAAGAACCGUAAUGCCAUUAAUUUGGUGGUGCGGGGAAACAGGACUGUUACUUUGAAAAAAUUAGAGUGUUUAAAGCAAGCUAACGCUUGAAUACAUUAGCAUGGAAUAAUGAAAUAGGACGAUCGAUCCUAUUUUGUUGGCUUCUAGGAUUGACGUA
rnacentral:rRNA from 1 species